ACAAAUUUCCCAAUCCCUAAUCAUUUUAACAUAUCCCUUCUCUCUGUAUAUUUCUCCAUUCUCUUCUCUCUCUUAACCACACACUACCAUCGAAGCGCCAUCAUCACUGGGCUCAAGACGCCUUCGGCCGGUCAAUGUCUUCGAUCUGCGAUCACUGAAGGAAAAAGGAAAGAAGCGCCAACAUGCGAUGUGUAGUCUUCGAUUUGCAGGAAAAAGGCGCCUCGGGUAGUGUUGCACGCAAAUGUGAAAAAAAAAUGUGUACUACGUAUACAUUUUACCCUAUAUAUUUUCAAUAAUUUUAUUUGUUAAUUGUCAGUUUCUAAGUUGUGAUGUGAUAUUUGAAUUCAAAAUGCUCAAAAGGGAUAAAAUAUUACCAAAAAUCUAAAUUCAUGUUCUUAAGUUGUGGAUAUAAAGUUGUCGUUACCUUUUAAACUUGAAACUUUCAAUCAAUCCUAAUUAGUAUUUAAAAGCUCGAUUUUAAAUAAAUUCCAACAAUGAACAAAAUUUCUUUUCGAGUUUUAUGUAAUUUAUUAUACCCUUGUAGGUUGAGAAGUGCUUGAUACCUCUAUCUACUUUAGAAAUAUACUCAGAAGUUGUUAGCUUUCUUCCUUUGUGUCCUUGGAAUAAUGUUACCAAGAAAAGGAUUUUUGAAUUUUCUUGCUGUGGAUGUUUUAUUGAAGCUAUGGGAUUUCAAACAUAAUUUCUUGAGCCAAGAAUAACACUCAUCUAGUCAGCAGCAUUUGAAGAGGGACUCCAAUGUAAGACUUGUGGUAAACCCCCAGAGGGUCAUUUUUUCUAUUACGCACAUUAUAACAAGCAACUAACUAUUAAAGCUAGACAUCUUCCUAUUGACAAAGGCCUGGUGAAAUUGAAGUAAAGCUUUGGAUGUAGAUUUGCUGUGGUCAAUGUAGUCAUAGAUGUCCUAUGUUGUUCUAUUGAUAAUAAAUGAUUUUGAUUUCAAGGAUUUGGUUGUAAUGUAUCGACUUACAUAACAUCACAUAUCUAUUCACUCCUUGUCA